GGUUAAGCGACUAAGCGUACACGGUGGAUGCCCUGGCAGUCAGAGGCGAUGAAGGACGUGCUAAUCUGCGAUAAGCGCCGGUAAGGUGAUAUGAACCGUUAUAACCGGCGAUUUCCGAAUGGGGAAACCCAGUGUGACUCGUCACACUAUCAUUAACUGAAUCCAUAGGUUAAUGAGGCGAACCGGGGGAACUGAAACAUCUAAGUACCCCGAGGAAAAGAAAUCAACCGAGAUUCCCCCAGUAGCGGCGAGCGAACGGGGAGGAGCCCAGAGCCUGAAUCAGCAUGUGUGUUAGUGGAAGCGUCUGGAAAGGCGCGCGAUACAGGGUGACAGCCCCGUACACAAAAGCGCAUAUGCUGUGAGCUCGAUGAGUAGGGCGGGACACGUGGUAUCCUGUCUGAAUAUGGGGGGACCAUCCUCCAAGGCUAAAUACUCCUGACUGACCGAUAGUGAACCAGUACCGUGAGGGAAAGGCGAAAAGAACCCCGGCGAGGGGAGUGAAAAAGAACCUGAAACCGUGUACGUACAAGCAGUGGGAGCCCCACCACUAAGCCAGUGGUGAACUCCACAUACGCAUCCUUUGCUGAGGAUACGGUUAACGGAGCGAAAGCGACGUUCAACCGCAAAAGAAGCAGAGGGGGCUUAGUGGUGGGGUGACUGCGUACCUUUUGUAUAAUGGGUCAGCGACUUAUAUUCUGUAGCAAGGUUAACCGAAUAGGGGAGCCGGAGGGAAACCGAGUCUUAACCGGGCGUUAAGUUGCAGGGUAUAGACCCGAAACCCGGUGAUCUAGCCAUGGGCAGGUUGAAGGUUGGGUAACACUAACUGGAGGACCGAACCGACUAAUGUUGAAAAAUUAGCGGAUGACCUGUGGCUGGGGGUGAAAGGCCAAUCAAACCGGGAGAUAGCUGGUUCUCCCCGAAAGCUAUUUAGGUAGCGCCUCGUGAACUCAUCUCCGGGGGUAGAGCACUGUUUCGGCUAGGGGGCCAUCCCGGCUUACCAACCCGAUGCAAACUGCGAAUACCGGAGAAUGUUAUCACGGGAGACACACGGCGGGUGCUAACGUCCGUCGUGAAGAGGGAAACAACCCAGACCGCCAGCUAAGGUCCCAAAGUCAUGGUUAAGUGGGAAACGAUGUGGGAAGGCCCAGACAGCCAGGAUGUUGGCUUAGAAGCAGCCAUCAUUUAAAGAAAGCGUAAUAGCUCACUGGUCGAGUCGGCCUGCGCGGAAGAUGUAACGGGGCUAAACCAUGCACCGAAGCUGCGGCAGCGACACUCAGGUGUUGUUGGGUAGGGGAGCGUUCUGUAAGCCUGCGAAGGUGGCCUGUGAGGGUUGCUGGAGGUAUCAGAAGUGCGAAUGCUGACAUAAGUAACGAUAAAGCGGGUGAAAAGCCCGCUCGCCGGAAGACCAAGGGUUCCUGUCCAACGUUAAUCGGGGCAGGGUGAGUCGACCCCUAAGGCGAGGCCGAAAGGCGUAGUCGAUGGGAAACGGGUUAAUAUUCCCGUACUUGGUGUUACUGCGAAGGGGGGACGGAGAAGGCUAUGUUGGCCGGGCGACGGUUGUCCCGGUUUAAGCGUGUAGGUGUGUGUUCCAGGUAAAUCCGGUUCACUUUAACACUGAGGCGUGAUGACGAGGCACUACGGUGCUGAAGCAACAAAUGCCCUGCUUCCAGGAAAAGCCUCUAAGCAUCAGGUAACAUCAAAUCGUACCCCAAACCGACACAGGUGGUCAGGUAGAGAAUACCAAGGCGCUUGAGAGAACUCGGGUGAAGGAACUAGGCAAAAUGGUGCCGUAACUUCGGGAGAAGGCACGCUGACACGUAGGUGAAGUGAUUUACUCAUGGAGCUGAAGUCAGUCGAAGAUACCAGCUGGCUGCAACUGUUUAUUAAAAACACAGCACUGUGCAAACACGAAAGUGGACGUAUACGGUGUGACGCCUGCCCGGUGCCGGAAGGUUAAUUGAUGGGGUCAGCGCAAGCGAAGCUCCUGAUCGAAGCCCCGGUAAACGGCGGCCGUAACUAUAACGGUCCUAAGGUAGCGAAAUUCCUUGUCGGGUAAGUUCCGACCUGCACGAAUGGCGUAAUGAUGGCCAGGCUGUCUCCACCCGAGACUCAGUGAAAUUGAACUCGCUGUGAAGAUGCAGUGUACCCGCGGCAAGACGGAAAGACCCCGUGAACCUUUACUAUAGCUUGACACUGAACAUUGAGCCUUGAUGUGUAGGAUAGGUGGGAGGCUUUGAAGUGUGGACGCCAGUCUGCAUGGAGCCGGCCUUGAAAUACCACCCUUUAAUGUUUGAUGUUCUAACGUGGACCCGUGAUCCGGGUUGCGGACAGUGUCUGGUGGGUAGUUUGACUGGGGCGGUCUCCUCCUAAAGAGUAACGGAGGAGCACGAAGGUUGGCUAAUCCUGGUCGGACAUCAGGAGGUUAGUGCAAUGGCAUAAGCCAGCUUGACUGCGAGCGUGACGGCGCGAGCAGGUGCGAAAGCAGGUCAUAGUGAUCCGGUGGUUCUGAAUGGAAGGGCCAUCGCUCAACGGAUAAAAGGUACUCCGGGGAUAACAGGCUGAUACCGCCCAAGAGUUCAUAUCGACGGCGGUGUUUGGCACCUCGAUGUCGGCUCAUCACAUCCUGGGGCUGAAGUAGGUCCCAAGGGUAUGGCUGUUCGCCAUUUAAAGUGGUACGCGAGCUGGGUUUAGAACGUCGUGAGACAGUUCGGUCCCUAUCUGCCGUGGGCGCUGGAGAACUGAGGGGGGCUGCUCCUAGUACGAGAGGACCGGAGUGGACGCAUCACUGGUGUUCGGGUUGUCAUGCCAAUGGCACUGCCCGGUAGCUAAAUGCGGAAGAGAUAAGUGCUGAAAGCAUCUAAGCACGAAACUUGCCCCGAGAUGAGUUCUCCCUGAGACUUUAGGUCUCCUGAAGGAACGUUGAAGACGACGACGUUGAUAGGCCGGGUGUGUAAGCGCAGCGAUGCGUUGAGCUAACCGGUACUAAUGAACCGUGAGGCUUAACCUU
rnacentral:rRNA from 1 species